GGCGAGCGGCCGAUCAGACCCACCCCGGCUCCGCGCGAGCUCGCCGCGAUCGACGUUUGACAUUCGGCCGCGCGACAACACGACGUGAAACUCGAGUCGACUAGGAAUUGCACGUCGAGCUUUCUUGGAAUUGCAAAAAUAUUUUAACUCCUUUACUCAAGUAAAAUUGCGGCUAAACUUGUGUUACAAAUUUUUUGCGAAAAAACUUUUUGGAGUACGUCCAUGACUUAAAAUAUUUUGUAAAUAAAUCGUGUGGUGCCGAGGAAAAUGUUCGAGUGCUAAAUUAUAAAUUUGUGUUCCGGUGACUGUAAAAGACCGCCGAGGACUCGUUCUCCUCUUUACGGCCCAUUAAGCCGCCCGAGGAAAGAACCGAAAAAAGGACUCGCGUCCGUUCAUCGCUGUGAUAAAAUUUAUGACAAACGAUUUGUUCAAUGACUGGUAUAUUAAUGUACAAUUACAUUGAAACGAAACAAUGAUUUGGUGGCCACGCGCACGAGUGAAGGGUGUACUAGGAUGAGCGGAGGGUGUCAGGGGCGGAGCGCGCGCGCACAGCAGCGGGC